UACGAAGGGGACUAGCGUUGUUCGGAAUCACUGGGCGUAAAGCGCACGUAGGCGGAUAUGUCAGUCAGGGGUGAAAUCCCGGGGCUCAACCUCGGAACUGCCUUUGAUACAGCAUAUCUUGAGUCCGAUAGAGGUGGGUGGAAUUCCUAGUGUAGAGGUGAAAUUCGUAGAUAUUAGGAAGAACACCGGUGGCGAAGGCGGCCCACUGGAUCGGUACUGACGCUGAGGUGCGAAAGCGUGGGGAGCAAACAAG
rnacentral:rRNA from 1 species